GUGCAGUCAAUUAAGCUGAACAGGUCCUUCCCUCAUGGGGGCCUGGUACACAAUGGCUACGGCAGCCAUCUUCUUGGUAGUGUAUGAAGCCUGUUGCUUAAUAAGGGCUGCACUAAGGACCAUGGAGACAGAU
ensembl:snoRNA Gm22857 small nucleolar RNA SNORA70